AUUGAACGCUGGCGGCAUGCUUUACACAUGCAAGUCGAACGGUAACAGGCCGCAAGGUGCUGACGAGUGGCGAACGGGUGAGUAAUGCAUCGGAACGUGCCCAGUCGUGGGGGAUAACGCAGCGAAAGCUGCGCUAAUACCGCAUACGAUCUAUGGAUGAGAGCGGGGGACCGUAAGGCCUCGCGCGAUUGGAGCGGCCGAUGUCAGAUUAGGUAGUUGGUGGGGUAAAGGCUCACCAAGCCAACGAUCUGUAGCUGGUCUGAGAGGACGACCAGCCACACUGGGACUGAGACACGGCCCAGACUCCUACGGGAGGCAGCAGUGGGGAAUUUUGGACAAUGGGCGCAAGCCUGAUCCAGCAAUGCCGCGUGCAGGAAGAAGGCCUUCGGGUUGUAAACUGCUUUUGUACGGAACGAAACGGCUCUCACUAAUACUGGGGGCUAAUGACGGUACCGUAAGAAUAAGCACCGGCUAACUACGUGCCAGCCGCCGCGGUAACAC
rnacentral:rRNA from 1 species